AUUAAGCUCGUGCAAAUGUGCUUGCAGGUGGUCCAGCAUGUGCGAAAUAAACGUCUGCAAGCAGUCCUGCACAUGUCAAAUUAACAUGCUAAUUUAGCCGUUCUUUAAUGUUCUUUUACCAUCCAAUUUCCCUAGGUCCUCCUUUCAACCAGAUUUCACAGUUUGAAGGAACUUCCUUUUCCACUACUAGCAGAGUAUGAACCUUCACAAGAUAAUGAUUUUGUCUUUGAAAAUUGUUGUUACUGAAUCAUAAUGUUUAUCAGCUAGUUUGCAGUGGAAAGAUCUGUUUCUCAUCACUGGCUAUAAAAUUCGGCUAACAAUCAAGCACCAGGAUCAGCCGUGCUUAGCAUAAACUAAGUCAGAUACUGGCUAGCUAAUUUAGCUAACGUAGGUAGCCUCGAACCCCGGCCAUAUUAUAUUAUAGUUAGCCUCUGCCCGGCCAUACUGCUAACCGCAGUGAACGGCGCCAUCUUGUGUUUUAUUAAAAGCUCUGAUGAAAAAACAUCAACUACAACAGCCAUGGGAACACAUUGGACUAUGUUAACACAAUCGAGACUAAAGGAAGACAAGCUACCUAAAUGUGACUUAUCGGCCAGCAUUGAAGGACAUGUUUUUGAGUUAAGUUUUUAGCCCAAAACCUUGCAUUUAAGCAAAACAACAGCUGAAGAAGGGAGCCAUGAAGAGGAGCUUGGAGUGGGCAAGGGAGAGGCUGAUAAAGCAGUAGAGAAGACCUGAUUCAUCAAGUAUCACGGUUAAUUCUGGUGAUUCUGACCUGGUUGGAAUGCGCAACACGGCAAGACACUUCAAUCCGACACUCUUGUUAAUGUUUGACGUCAGGCAAAACGUCUUCAGCCACCGUAGGGUGGAGAGCCGCUGGUUGGCAUUUUUGACAGCGGUGUCUGUGUGGGUGUACCAGGAAAGGACGUUUGAAGUUAGGUCCCCAUGAUAUCAAAGCUCCUUACCAUCUUCACUGCAGCCCAGUCGAUAUCGAUUUUAAAAACUGGAACAAUAGAUAUCGUGUUGCACAUGGCAGCAAAAAUUCACUUGCCCAACUCCAGUUUGCCUAUUGUCCCAACACAUUUGUCAAUUAUGCAUUUUUACCUACGUCAGAGCGUGGUUUCUUUUAUAGCUCUGCUUUCAACACCAUCCUGACCCACAAACUGGUUAGCAGACUCAGGCCUCUGAGUGUAAACCCUGUAAAACGAAUUACAUUUUUUACAUUAUCACAAGAAUGUCUAUCCCCAUAAUGGACACAACACCUAAACAUGAUGACGACAAUACCAUGGUACCACCUGAUCACGAGUACAUGAAGGUGCUGUGGGAUCUGACAUAAUGGUGAUAGAACAACAGCCUCAGCCUAAGCAAAACAAAGUAGAUGGUGAGACUUGACCAUUCUCCCAUCUACUGUACAUUGACAUGGAGAUGAACAGCAGCUUCAAGUUCCUGGGCACCCUGAUAUCCAUUUCUGCCCUCAGUCACUUCACUCAAAGUCCCACCAGUACACCUCCACUUUCCUCAUCAACUUGCUGCACCACAACCUAUGUUCCAACUACAGUGUCUUUUAUUGCCAUAACACAUGUAAAUGAAAUGUUGUCCAUAUUUACUGUAAGAUUUAUUUAUGGUAACAUUGAACAUAUUGUAACAUUAUAGUCAGUUGACAUACAUGACUAUAACUACUAUUAACUACUAUUAACUACUUAGCAUAAUGCUCCGUUUACCCACUCUACUAAGAAAUCAUACAUUUAUUAAAAUAUUAAAGCUGCAUUAUGUA
ensembl:lncRNA